rnacentral:rRNA from 1 species
UGACCGCGUGCCUUUUGUAGAAUGAGCCAACGAGUUAGUCGUAUAGGGUAGGUUAAGGCAGUUUCAGCCGGAGCCAUAGCGAAAGCGAGUCCGAUAAGGGCGUUUAUCUUAUGCGCUAGACCCGAAACCAGGUGAGCUAACCAUGGGCAGGUUGAAGUGUCGAUAGUCUCGACAUGGAGGACCGAACCAGGGCAUGCAGCAAAAUGCUUGGAUGACCUGUGGUUAGAUCUGAAAUUGACAUCGAACCUGGAGAUAGCUGGUUCUCUCCGAAAUAUAUUUAGGUAUAGCCUUCAGUGACUAGCAAUAGGGGUAGAGCACUGUUUGGGGAAGGGCGGUAAACAACUGUACCAACUCCUGACAAACUUUGAAUACUAUUGUGAUUGUCUGAGGAGUCAGUCUAUGACAGCGAAGUGCCAUAGACGCGAGGGAAAGAGCCCAGACCACCAUCUAAGGUCCCAAAUGUAAUCUCAGUGGCAAACGAUGUGAAAUUGUUUAAACAGCCAGGAGGUUGGCUUAGAAGCAGCCACCCUUUAAAAAGUGCGUAAUAGCUUACUGGUCGAACGAUUUUGCGCGGAAAAUCCAACGGGGCUUAAGAUUACAACCGAAGAUGUGGGUAGUUUCGCUUUUGCGAAAUUGCGGUAGGAGAGCGUUGUGGGAGUGAUGAAGGUAGGCCGAAAGGCUUCUGCUGGAAUGACCACAAGUGAGAAUGUUGGCAUGAGUAACUUUAUGGAGGUUAAAACCCUCCACACCGAACACCCAAGGUUUCCGAUCCACUGGCAGUCAGGGUCGGGUUAGUCGGGCCUAAGGCGAGGCCGAAAGGCGUAGUCGAUGGACAACAGGUUAAUAUUCCUGUACCAAUUUAUGAUGUGAUGGCGGGACGCAUGAAGAAACAAGUUUCCAGUUAAUGAAUUCUGGGGUAAGCAAUUAGCUUAUGCUCUAAUAGGCAAAUCCGUUAGAGUUCGCGAGUUGUGAUGCGUAAAUACAUUCCAGCGAUGGAGUGGUAAAACUUAGAUUUUUGUGCCAAGAAAAUCGUCUAAACUUAUGAUUAAAUUGACCGUACCGCAAACCAACACUGGUGGGUGAGAUGAGUAUUCUAAGGUGAACGAGAUAACUAAGCUUAAGGAACUCGGCAAUACAGCGUCCGUAACUUCGGGAUAAGGACUCCCUGCAUUUAUGUAGGGCGCAGCGAAAGAUGCCAUGCAACUGUUUAUCAAAAACACAGGUCCGUGCUAACUUGCAAAAGGAUGUAUACGGGCUGACCCCUGGCCAGUGCUAGAAGGUUAAGUGGACGGGUUAACGCUCGAAAAUGAAGCCCUAGUGAACGCCGGCCGUAACUAUAACGGUCCUAAGGUAGCGAAAUUCCUUGUCGGGUAAGUUCCGACCCGCACGAAUGGGGCAAUGAUGUGGCAACUGUCUCAAGCUUAGACUCGGUGAAAUUGCAGAAACGGUAAAAAUGCCGUUUACACGCGGUAGGACGAAAAGACCCUGUGCAGCUUUACUCCAGCUUGUCACUGAUUUUUUGUCUGUUUUGUUCAGAAUAGGUGGGAGUCUAUGAAGCAUGACGCUAGUUAUGUGGAGACAUCUUUGAGAUACCACUCUUGACAUACGGAAAAUCUAACGAAGGCCGUUAUCAGCCUUUUAGCCAAAAAGGAAACUUGUUUUUAUUAUUAAAGUUUUUCCUUUCAAGUUCUAAAAAGGUUGAUACCGGUUUUCGGACAGUGAUUGGUGGGGAGUUUGACUGGGGCGGUCGCCUCCUAAAGAGUAACGGAGGCGCGCAAUGGUUGACUUGCGUCGGAUGGAAAUCGACGUGAAAGUGUAUUCGCAUAAGUCAGCUUGACUGUGAGGCUCACAAGCCGAGCAGGUACGAAAGUAGGUGAAAAUGAUCCGGUGUUUCCACGUGGGUGGGGCAUCGCUCAACGGAUAAAAGUUACGCCAGGGAUAACAGGCUAGUCAGUCCCAAGAGUUCAUAUCGACGGACUGGUUCGGCACCUCGAUGUCGGCUCAUCGCAUCCUGGGGGGGAAGCAUCUCCCAAGGGUAUGGCUGUUCGCCAUUUAAAGCGGUACGCGAGCUGGGUUCAGAACGUCGUGAGACAGUUCGGUCUCUAUCCUCCGUGUGCGUUUGGAAAUUUGAGGAAAGCUGCUCCUAGUACGAGAGGACCGGAGUGGACGAACCUCUGGUGUACCGGUUGUCGUGUCAACGGCAUUGCCGGGUAGCUACGUUCGGACGGGAUAACCGCUGAAAGCAUCUAAGCGGGAAGCCUCUUCCAAGAUAAGAUUUCCCUUAAGAUCCCUGCGAGACUAGCAGGUUGAUAGGUUGCAAGUGUAAGUGCAGUAAUGUAUUUAGCUGAGCAAUACUAAUAGAUCGAUUGAACUUUUUUCA